rnacentral:rRNA from 1 species
AAUCGAACCCGGAGAUAGCUGGUUCUCCCCGAAAUAGCUUUAGGGCUAGCGUCGCAGCGAGAGAGCCGUGAAGGUAGAGCACUGAAUAUGCGAUGGCCGCAUCCCGCGGUACUGAGCAUAAUCAAACUCCGAAUGUCACGGUGUCAUCUGCGGCAGUCAGACGGCGAGUGAUAAGGUCCGUCGUCAAGAGGGAAACAGCCCAGACCAUCAGCUAAGGUCCCAAAGUGCAUGCUAAGUGGAAAAGGAAGUGGAGACGUGCAGACAACUAGGAGGUUGGCUCAGAAGCAGCCAUCCUUCAAAGAGUGCGUAACAGCUCACUAGUCGAAUGACUCUGCGCCGAUAAUUUACCGGGGCUAAGCAUGACACCGAAGCUAUGGACAGGAAUGUGGUAGGGGAGCAUUGCAUGCAGCGGAGAAGCAUGACCGAGAGGGCAUGUGGAGCGCAUGGAAGAGAGAAUGCCGGCGUGAGUAGCGGCACGUGGGUGAGAAUCCCACGCACCGAUGGCCCAAGGUCUCCAGAGGAAGGCUCGUCCUCUCUGGGAUAGUCGGGACCUAAGGCGAGGCCGAAAGGCGUAGCCGAUGGACGACGGGUGGAUAUUCCCGUACCCGAUGUGUGGCGAUGGAGUGACGGAGAAGGCUCAGGCAACCAGCUGCUGGAAUAGCUGGGGCAAGCGAGAUACCUGCGCACCAGGGAAAUCCGGUGCGUGCAGGGGGAAGGCGCGAAGCAUACGGAAAGCUGCGGCAAGUACGGAAAAGCUGAGAGCAGGCUUCCAGGAAAAGCUUCUAGCACAACACGCAUCGGCCCGUACCGAAAAUGGACACACAUGGGCAAGGAGAGAAUCCUGAGGUGAGCGAGAGAACUAUAGCUAAGGAACUCUGCAAAAUGACCCCGUAACUUAGGGAGAAGGGGUGCUCCAGAAAUGGAGCCGCAGUAAAACGGCCCAAGCGACUGUUUACCAAAAACACAGCUCUCUGCGAAGGCGCAAGCCGAAGUAUAGGGGGUGACGCCUGCCCGGUGCUGGAAGGUCAAGGGGAGCUGUCAGCGCAAGCGAAGCAGCGAGCCGAAGCCCCAGUAAACGGCGGCCGUAACUAUAACGGUCCUAAGGUAGCGAAAUUCCUUGUCGGGCAAGUUCCGACCCGCACGAAAGGCGUAACGAUUUGGGCGCUGUCUCAGCUGUAGACUCGGUGAAGUCUUAGUACCUGUGAAGAUGCAGGUUGCCCGCGACUAGACGGAAAGACCCCAUGGAGCUUCACUGCAGGUUGACAUUGGGCUUGGAUGCAUGAUGUACAGGAUAGGUGGGAGGCUGUGAGCCGUGCGCGCCAGCGUACGGGGAGCCGCUGUUGGGAUACCACCCUUCAUGCAUCUAGGUCCUAACCGGAGGCAACGGGCCACGGGACAGUGUCAGUCGGGCAGUUUGACUGGGGCGGUCGCCUCCCAAAGAGUAACGGAGGCGCCCAAAGAUACCCUCAGCAUGGAUGGAAACCAUGCAUAGAGUGCAAAGGCAUAAGGGUGUCUGACUGCGAGACAUACAGGUCGAGCAGGGACGAAAGUCGGGCUUAGUGAUCCGGCGGAUCCGAAUGGAAGGGCCGUCGCUCAACGGAUAAAAGCUACCCUGGGGAUAACAGGCUGAUCUCCCCCAAGAGUUCACAUCGACGGGGAGGUUUGGCACCUCGAUGUCGGCUCAUCGCAUCCUGGAGCUGAAGUCGGUUCCAAGGGUUGGGCUGUUCGCCCAUUAAAGCGGUACGCGAGCUGGGUUCAGAACGUCGUGAGACAGUUCGGUCCCUAUCUGUCGUGGGCGCAGGAGGUUUGAGGAGAGCUGCCCCUAGUACGAGAGGACCGGGGUGGACGGACCGAUGGUGCACCAGUUGUCACGCCAGUGGCACAGCUGGGCAGCCAAGUCCGGACGGGAUAAGCGCUGAAGGCAUCUAAGCGUGAAGCCCCCUCCAAGAUGAGACCUCCCAUUGG